GGUAAUUUUAGGUAAUUCCAUGACUUACCAAUUGACAACGUAACUACGACGUCGCAUGCCCGUAAUUUUAUUACCAUCACAUUACCAACUCACAACGUCGUCAGUACGUCCUUCCAACGUGACCAGAUAACCAAGAACGUCCCAGAUAGGUCCUCUAUUGGUAAUAUAUUGGUAACUUCAUGACUUACUGGCAACGUAACUACAACGUCGUAUGCACGUAAUAUCAUUACCAUAUAUUUUUUUUACGUUCUUUAUAUGCUCUCUGAGUAUAGAGCCAUUUAAAAAGUGUAAUUAAACUUCAGACUCAAGAUUAAACGUUCCUUAAAGAUAAAAUAUGUUUCUUUUCACCAAGUCAGAAUAUGGACAUGCUUUUAAUAUAUAGUGACGUGACAUACAGGCGCGCGCUUCCGCAACUGACGCACCGCGCGCACAGUAUUGACAAGAAAAGAGUUGUGAAACUUUCUAUCUCGUAAGGAGUUAUGAACGUGAAAUAGUGACACAGACUGGCUACACCAUCUCAUCUGCAGCAGAGAUUGUUGUAUCAGAAGGACAGCGCGUUUGUUUGACGCACUUUUCACUUCAACUGUGUCUGACAGGAGAAUUAGCUUUCUGAGCCUUCUAGCCGUUGAGUUACCAUGGCAACCGCGUACACAUCAGCUGCUGGAGAGGAGAGGACUCGUCUGACAUUUUCUCUGUUUCUCGUCAGUUAUACCAAAGAAAAGGCCAACAACUGCGACAGAUUUUGAUUUCAGGAGUGUCUUAAAAACCCUCUAAAACAGAGGAGAAGUUCCAAGAAAAUGUCUAACGGGAGCUGCUGACAGAGAUAGAAAACACAGUUUGUUUAUUUCUAAUAAGGAGCUGGAGGCCGUGAAGAUACAGAUCCAUGAUAUUGUGGAGAAGCAGGCCCAGCUGAGCGAGUGGAGAGCUGUGCUGGAAAUAUUCAGGGGUUGAUGCUCAUAAGUCCAGGGUAAGUAUACAGCUAACCCUACUACCACCUCUACUCUGUGUGGUUCUCUGCAAAGGCCCGGUGUACCCAGGAUGCGAUCUUCCCAGAUGUCCUUCACCCUAUUUCAUAGUGUAAGACAUGAUCCAGGCCCUGGGCGACGACCUCUCUCCAUCCGCCGCCUCCGGUCUUCAGGAUCUCCACCAGAACCCGAUUCGCUCCACUUCGCGAGACAGAACAAAACGCUGUGAUCAUCAGAGACUCCAUCGUCCGGCACGUUUGCGCUAUGUUAGCUGAAGGUAAAGUCCACACUGACUACUUCCCUGGUGCUCAUGUUCUUGAUAUUUCUGCACAGAUUCCCGUGACCCUGAAGAGUGAGGUGGGCAUCAGAGCGGACGGAGACGCUGAAGAGGGACUUCAGGAGCCUGAUCAAGACAGUGCGCAGCAUAUCGCCUGCAUGAUGAUCAUCGUGUCAGGACCACUUCCCACGUAUAGAUGAGGACAUGAAAGGUUCAGCAGACUUUUUGCUUUAAACGAAUGGUUAUAGUCAUGGUGUAAAGAACAGAAACUGCCUUUUGUUAAUAAUUGGAAUCUUUUCUGGGAGCUAGGCUUUUUAGAUCUCCUGUUGGACAACAUCUCCAGGACACGUCGCUCCAUAUGACUAGGCAGUUUGUGAAAAGAGAUAAUCAAGAGAAGUCAGUUCCAGAUCCACCCUCCACACCAGACCUCUCUCUCACGAGGAUUGCUGUCUACUAGCAUACUGUGUUCUCUUCAGACUUCGGGGGAUGCAGAUAUUACUCAGGGACAUGAACACUAGAAUAUUGCAAGAAUAGAGAAAGUAAGAAUUACUUAAGAUUUUAGAAUUUAAUGUUAAUUGCUUAAACAUAUACUGUAUAUAUUUAGAUAUAUUUUUGUGGCAGUGUGAACUGGCCAUAAUGCUGUAUGAUAGGUGUGAGAUUCAUUAAACUUGAUUUGCUAUAAUA